GUCAUGCCAGCAGCACAUGUACCAAAACCGGAAGGAUACAGAGAAGAUCAGCAUGGCUCCUGUGCAAGGACAUCACAGAAAUUCGUGGAGUGUUCCACAUUUUU
ensembl:snRNA U6 U6 spliceosomal RNA